CAAAUAGACCUUCUACUCUCAAGUAAGAUCGUUUCCAUUCAAUUCUAUUUGUAAUUAAUUUUCAAAACUGAAUAAACAAAUGUUAGUUAAUUGGCGAAGGUGUGUUGCGUACACAAAUUUGAUUGUGUGGGUUGAGUAUGUUGUUGGCGGUAAGAGGCGUAGAUGGUCGGUGGCCUCGCAAGUGAUUCAGCAGAUCUACUGGUGGCCUCGCUGCGGUGGCCGCGGGCGGAGGCUAAAGUCGCGGCGGCGUUGGCUGAAAUCAAAGGAAUCGAAGCGAAACCAGCGACGGCGACAUUGGACCUUCGCCGGUCCAAGGCGGCGGUGGCAGAACAGAUCGAGAGUGAGGGAAGAUCUGCGAUGAGAGAGAGAGCGAGAGGAGAUAGAGAGGGGCGGCGGCGGCAUCGGACCUUCGCCGGUCCAAGUUAGAUGGCGUUAAUGUUAAUCAUAAUCUUUAUUCUACAUAUAAAAAUAUAUAUUUAUUUAUUAUAUAUCCUAUAAAUUUAGACGGCGU
rnacentral:lncRNA from 1 species